UCUUGCUGAUGUGAUCGAGAAGAUGUUUAGCAAGACGGACAUUGUGUUUGAAUGUCUAAUUUGCGAGUAUUUCGGAUUCAGAGACGGAUCGUCUUAUGAAAGACGCUAUCGAAACAAUGUGUGAUGCUUUAACUUUGAAUAUCAACUUGCAAUAAAUAUAUAUUUACAACA